UCUCACACUCUGCAUAAUUAUACUUGGUUUCACCUUUGUGACUUUUGUACCUGAGAGAGGAAAGAGCUCCUCAGGAUCUUACAAUGGCCCCUAUUGCCUAGAGGAACUCUACAGUU